UAUGAAGCCAUCACUGGAUGCUAUGGCGAGUUAGCAUGGCCACCGAUGACGGCAGAUAAACAUCUUUUUUUCCUGAAGCGGCAAGAUGUUUCUUCGCCAUUAGUACAUUGAGCAGGACAUACACCAGACUCACAGAAGCUGGAAUAGAUGCGUCACAUGAUCAACAACCGGACGUUACCACUGGCGGAAGAAGUGGGUUUAAUGUAGCCAUGAGAGGUCAGGGGAUCUAACAGCGUUGAGUGAGCGCUCCCGCGAAGGCCUGUGAAGAAGCGUGCUCCGUCACUGCCACUGAGGCGCACAUCCUCACUGCAGGAAACUAUCUCAACUUGUAACGCCACUCCCCGACUGCUCCAUUACAGGACUUUGCACAGUUGCUCUGAAGAGCUGCAGGGGGGAUUACAUGACUGACGUUUUUAUGAGAUGAAGCUAACCACAACUGCUGGAGACAGUGGUGGAAAAAUAGCAAACCUGCAAUCAGGAAACUAGGGACUUCUGUUAAUUUGUUGAGUGUGCAUCCGGUGACAAAUGGGAAGUAACCGAAAGCGGCUAUCUUACUGAUGCAACCACCAGCAAAGCGUUCUUAGCAUCUCCACGUUUUGACCCUACGAUCCAACUGCUGUAAGCAGAAUACGGGCCGAUCACUAAACGCAACGUCAGCUGCAGAUCCGCAGGAGACCGUCCAUGGUUCCUACGUUCUAACAAGAGCUCUUCCAGAGGUAACAAUGAAGCCUGAAAGGACAUCAUGCCGAGACAGCCAGCUGGGGAACACUGGGAUGUUGUGUCCA